GACAGUGACUUUGGGCUGUAGUAAAGGCACCAGAUUCCAUAUGAUCUUGGAAGCUAAACCGGAUAAGCUCUGGUUAGUUCUUGGAUAGAAGACCUACAAGGAAUACCAGGUGUUGUAGGCA
rnacentral:rRNA from 11 species